CGCGCCGGCGUGCCGCAGGGCCUACCGGGAAACGCGGCCUCGGAACCACAACCCCCAGCAUGCUCUGCGUGUUCAGGGAACUCCAUCUCCCAGCAUGCCGAGGGACUCCGGCCUAGCGCACCUACUGGGGACUACCACUCCCAUCAUGCCGCGGGCCCCUCUCUCAGAGCGCUGCGGGGCCUCUGCGCGCGGUGCACGCUGGGAGAUGUAUUCCUUCUGGGGCGCGGCGGUCACAGUGCCUGGCUACACGUGGUGCUGCCACGCCGGUCAGGGGUCCCCUUCUGUCCGGGCCCCGGGCCUGCAGGCGAGGGGAAAUGGAGGGGAAAAGGGUAAUUACUGUAAAAAAUCAAAAGGAAAAAUCCUUCCUUCCCCAGCAGUUUUUAACUCUAAAAGAGGAGGAGGCAGAGAUGCCACGAAGUGCUCGUGGGAGAGCGAGCAGCGUGUCCAGCCCCACCUGGAGAGGAGUCACCAGAACAGAUGCCUCCGCAAGACACUGCCAGAGGAAUGACGGUGAGGGGACACUCACAGGGCUGGUCCCAGCAUCGAGUCAGAGCAAAGGAACUCCGGCAGACGGAUCUGAACACGAACAACAAGAACAGGGUCUCUGCACCUGUAACACCACGGCCUGUGUGAAGAGGGAAGUUAGCACCUGCAGAGAGGCUGGAAAAAAAAGACAAGAGGAAAUGUUCCAGGAACUAGUGACUGCAUUCCAACAGAGGGCCUUGAAGAAGUUUGGAGGGAAGGUUUCCUGGUGCGACCACAAAGCAUCAAAGUAGAGUGCAUGGCCUUGGAAAGGGAUAUGAUACAGACUCAAACAGGCUGUUGGAGCACCUUUUGGGACAAAGGUCAAGCACUGCUCCCCAACCUUGCAAUGUCCUGCAGACUAUAGGGAACAUACCAGACUGGGAUCACCAUUUCAUUCAAGCUUUACAACUCCUUCCAGAACAAUCCACCUACCAGGAUAUGGAGAAGGAGAACCCCUUCAAACACAUCACCUACAGGAGUUUAUGAGCCUUCAGUUUGGCCUUGCCACAGUUCCACUGGCCCCAGAUUUGCACUGUGUUCUUAGUUCACUGUUUUUUUUUAAUCAAGUAGUUAUGUAUUCCCUAUGUUAUUUGUUCAUUCAAUGAAUUUUUGGGGGUAGAACUCAGCUGAAAAAUGUCAUUGAGGUACAGCCCAACCCACAAAUUAUGCAACAUCAACCCAUAGUAUCAAUUCCUAAUAAAAUCAGCACACAAACAAACACAUUUCAGUCAUUUCCUUGGCUGCAGCACAUUCAUUACCCACAACUAUCCCGUGGGCACAGUGCAUCUUUAACCCUAGUUCUUUGAUCACUUGGGGCUAGAUUCACAAAAGGACUUAUGCACCUAAUUGUCACCUUAGGCACUUAAAUCCCAGAAUCAGGCCCCACUGGGAUUCCCAAAACCCCUACUCAGCUGCUGCUGAACUUUGUAGAUGUUUAAUUUCACUCGGCAGCCACAUUUUUGCAGCAGAAGUUCCUUAGGUGCCUAUGUUGCUGCCUGUACAUGACCUCACUGUAGCUCCACACCAGGCGUCUGGACUCCUAACCCGCACUGUGAUGCACAAACCAGGGUAGACAAACAUUCUUCCACCUCACACACCCACAGGGCCCAAUCUGGUAGGCAAAGAUCUGUACACACAUACCAGAGUAGGUCCCUAUAAGCAAGCUUCCACAGACACAGCUGUGGGGGGAGAGGAGAAGGAGGCCCUCCCUAACAACUUUUAGCCUAGUGGUUAGGAUACACACCUAGGAUGCAGGAAACCUAGUUCAAGUCCCUCCCAUUGAGUCCAGCACGAACCAGGAUUGUUGCCUGCAGGACAUUUCCUAUGGCUUUGUCCUGCUCAGGUUUAAUGGGCCCAUGUGACAGGGCUUCCGCUGAGUUACAUGGUGUUCAGUCCUGAGCCACCUCAAGGCAGGAGAGCUCAGAUUCGGAUGGAGGCUCAUGCCUAACUCCUCAUUCUGGGACACUGCUAGCCCUGCAUGUCUCGCCACUUUUCCAACAUCACCACGCAAACGUGAGUCCAGACACGUCCCUCAGCGUUACUCCAGUUACACUAACGACGGGCCCCAAGUCAGAAAAGAACCAUCCCCUCCCCCCAGACUUCAGACCUCAGGCCCCGCUGUGAUUUGCACCAAUCGUCCCACCUCAU